ACAUGCUUACAACAUAGUGUUAAUGCACUGGAUCCCAUUAGAACUUCGUAGUUAAGUACGCCCAGGCUAGAGUAGUACUGGGAUGGGUGACCUCCCGGAAAGUCCUAGUGUUUUACAUGCC
rfam:Picea glauca, whole genome shotgun sequence.